AGGACUUUGAAAAGAUUGUGCAAGAAACUGUGUUUAUUUCAAAGAAAGAACCACACGGACGGUGGGUGAUGGGGAAACUGACUCUUUUUUGAAGGAGGAAAUGAUUUUUUUUUCUCGUAAAGUUAUGACUUUAUUCUCAAAAUCACAGAUUUUUUU